rnacentral:lncRNA from 1 species
AUCCCCUCCCACACACCUCCCCACACAUAUGUCCCACCUCCUUUUGCCUUCCACUAUGUCCCCUAUUUCCAAUGGCCACGUGACUGUGUCCUGACACUUGGUGGCCUCCUUGGUAUCCCAGUAUAACUAAGUACUGAGAGGCGUUCUUCCACCCAGGCUGCCUGUCCACUGGGGCAGGCUCCAUCCUGCAGGAGGCAGGAGGAGGGCGCAGAGGCCUGAGGCCCUCAGUCCACAUGCCCCUCUUUGGAGCGUCCCCUCCCCGCCCGGUCCAGGCUCCUGAGAAUUUCCUCAGCUUCUUGGCAGGGCAGAGGGGUGAUGGGUGCUUUCUGUGUGGACCCUAUCUGCUGCUGAAUCUCCACAGCUCCCCUUCGAGGGCCACCCGUGUCCGCAGGCCACCUCCCCUUGCUCGGAGCACUUGUCCUCUUUCUGGGAUACUUCUCUUGCACUUGAACUUGACAGAGGAAGCCACAAAGCUUCCCGACCACAGAACGGGGGAACUGGCCAUGGAACAGGGGAACCGGCCAUGGAAAGGGGGAACUGGCCAUGGAAUGGGGGAACUGGCCAUGGAAUGGGGGAACUGGCUAUGGAACGGGGGAACCAGUCAUGGAAAGGGGAAACCGGCCACAGAACGGGGGGAAAGGCCACAGAAAGGGGGAACCGGCCAUGGAAUGGGGAAACCGGCCAUGGAAUGUGGGAGCUGGCCACAGAAUGAACAGAGGAACCGGCCAUGGAACCGGCCAUGGAAUGGGGGAACUGGCCAAUGGAAUGCACCGGGGGGGAACCAGCUAUGGAAAGGGGGGAACUGGCCACAGAAAGGGGGGACUGGCCACGGAAUGGGGGAACUGGCCAUGGAAUGGAGGAACUGGCCAUGGAAAGGGGGAACUGGACAUGGAAAGGGGGGACUGGACAUGGAACAGGGGAACUGGCCCUGGCCGUGUGUGUCCCUCACCUGAGCCCUGUCUCCUGGGCUCCUGCUUCCAUUUUGCACUGAGACCUCUCCCUCAUUCCCUCUGACUCAGCCUCUCGCCCACCCUGAAGUCCUGCUUCCUCACUGCCCGUGGGAGGUUGGAGGCUCCGACUGCCUCUUUUUUAUCCCCCAAAUGUUUCCACCACCAGCAAGUGCUGAGCAAAUAUCUGUUAAAUAAAUGAAUGUGCAACAGGAAAGCAAGCAGCCCCUGGCCUGACCUGGCCUGAGGCUCUGGAUGGGGAAUAUGCUUCCCAGUUUGCUUGCUUCCCUGGAGAAGCCCCCGGGAGGGCCGCACCCUAAGGCUUUGCUCCAACAUGUAACAUGUGCCAAGGACAUGUGGUGGGGGCGUCUGCAAGGUCCAUCUCUUCGUGGGGGCCCAGGAGGAGAACGUACGGUCCUCAAGCAGAAUUCCCUGCCCUGGUCUCCGGGAUGGGCAGAGGGCCCUGCCUUCAGGUGUGGAGGAGAGUGCAGCACUCAGCAUCACCCUAGGGGCCUGGGGGGCACAGGUCAGCAGGGGGCACCUGGGAGAGAAGAGGAGGCAGAAAGCAGAGGAGGAGGGAUGGACGCCCAGCUGGGCACAAGAGGGGCUUCAGGGCCCGGCAGGACAGCCACCCGGGGAAAGUUGUUUCCUGUACCCACUGACUUUGAUGGCUCUAAGUCUCCCACAACUCCGGUAAAGUCCCAGGACCCCGAGCAGCCUCAGGAAGAGCUCCUGGGGCCUCAGGGGAAUGAGGCGGCCCAGGCCUGGCACAGCUCCGUGGUGGCACAUCACAUCACUCAUCAUCAAACCAGCCCUCCUGCAACGAUUCUCUGGCCUCUCUGCUGCUCUGCCUAGCUCCAGUCUUGUCCUGCGGAAGGUGCUGGAGCAGCCCUCAGCCUGCCUCUGGCCUCCCUCUCAGUUUCCCCCUCCACAGCUGGGCAGGCUGCUCCCUUCACCCCAACACUCCAUGGCUCCCCAUGGCCUGCAAAUCAGAUCACAGCCCCUAAGCCUGGACUGCAAAGUGCUCCGCUUGGCCUCGCCCACCUUUCAGCCCAUUUGCAACGUGACACACGCAAGUGAAGUGGAUGAGGCUACGCCUGCACCUGACCCAGCUCCUGCUUUCUGCCUCCUCCUGUCCCUUUUCUCCUGCCCUGUCCCCAUCCUGCCUCUGCUUCUGUCCACAUGGCCCCAGCCACAGCGCCCUCCUGCCAGCCAACCAUGUUCUCAAGGAAGUUCAUGUUCCCCUUAACUCGAGCUUUUAUUUCAGCAAAGCUUCAGGGUCACCUGCACGGCCUCUCGCGAGUAGGGGGACUUCGUACUCGCUCCACAGGCAGCUUCCAGGGUCCGGGGAGAAGCGGAGCGGGGCAGAGAAAGCCGUGCCACCCAGCAGCACAAGGCAGGGCUGGGAUUUGCUUGCAGGUAGCAGAGUAACCCAAGCAGACACACACUCGUGCACAAACACACACAGAGAGACACGGGCACACACAGGCAGACGCAAACGUGCAUGCACACACAGACACACGCACACACACACGCAGACACACACACACUAAUGCUCACUCACAGGCAAACAGACACCCUUGGGUAGAUUCAUGGUCUGACAGCCGUGCAGGAAACUGUCCCAGGAGGAGCCCAGGCUGUGUCAGGGUCACCUUGACUUCACUAUUUUGGAAAUGCUGAAUUUUGCUGCAAAG